UACGAAGGGGGCUAGCGUUGCUCGGAAUCACUGGGCGUAAAGGGCGCGUAGGCGGGAUGGCAAGUCAGUCGUGAAAUCUCUCGGCUCAACCGAGAAACGUCGGCUGAUACUGCCGUUCUUGAGGGAUGCAGAGGAGACUGGAAUUCCCGGUGUAGCGGUGAAAUGUGUAGAGAUCGGGAGGAACACCGGUGGCGAAGGCGGGUCUCUGGGCAUUUCAUGACGCUGAGGCGCGAAAGCGUGGGGAGCAAACGGG
rnacentral:rRNA from 1 species